UGGCACUAUGUCAGGUCCUUA
rnacentral:siRNA from 1 species